CUUGUGAUUGCUUGAUCAAAAGUUCAAAACUGAAUAUUGUUUUUUGGGAAAACAAAAGCUGAUUCCUUAAUGCUAGGGUUUGGUCCUUGAUAUCUUCAUAUUGUCCUUUGUGGUUACUGGUUAGGGGUUUAUUUGUCAUAUCAUUUGUGUCAUUGUUGUCACUGUUUUUCUUUGCGUUAUUCGUUAAGACAUGCACUUCGGAUGAAAUGGAGUGAUCUGUAGCCAUGUUGAUCGAAAUGUGGAAAUUGCAGCCAGUUUGGUAUGUCCAUUUUGAUAAGCUCCUCAAAAUUCCUUUAGAUCUUGGACUUCUUAUUUUGUUUACCUAGUAUGCCCAUUGAGGAAUGAAUAAUUAGUCUUACUUUCCAAAACAAAAGGAAAAAAUACGAGCAAAAUCUCUUGAUCAAAGAAGUUCAAAACAUCACAUUGGUUUAGAAAGUUGACACUCUUGAUUUUCAGUCAAGUUGGCGUACUAAGUUUUAAUAAGAUUUUACUAUUUGUUGAGGUCUUUAGCAUGAAAAAGAGUAGAAAGAAAAUCAACAAUACAAAACCACUGUUAUAACUAUAUACUGUUAGGUUACCUUUUCAUGUUCGUAGCAUACACAUCUAGUCUUGGCUUGAACCAGAUUAUUUUUAGAUUUUCUUUUUAUUGAAUGUAAGCUUAGUGCUAUAAACAGAAAAUCAUGUCUAAACAUGUGUUUCUCAUUGGUAGAAUGCAAUUGGUUUUUGAUGUUGUAGUGGAGCGAACAAGAGACACGCUGGUCAGGCUGAGCCAAACUCGCCGAAGGGUGAAGAACUUAAGUUCUUGACUUGGGCCAACCAACUGGUAUAGUUUGGAUGAUUCAUGAUUAAGCCGGACAGUAGCUUAAGGGCCAGGCCAGACGCUUGUGACAGAUCAGGCUGAGAGGCACGGCUUGGCCAAGUUGCUUCCACUUAUGUGUCAUACAGCAAUCAUCAUGACUCAUGGAUGACGUCUUUCAGGGAAAUGGUUACGAAUGACGUCAUGGGACCAUGUGCUCGUCAUAUCAUUACUUGGUCCUCAAGUACAUUAUUUCUAUACAAGGUACAUAACAAGCCUUAAAAGAGGUCUCUCGUUUCUUGUGAUGUGAUUUGAAUCAUUUGAGUCUUGUGGUGUAUUUUCUACCAUCUUGAGUGAGGAAUGACUUUGGCAUCAGAGUGUCCUUCGGCUGGAAUAGGGUUGGUAGCCACGACCCACGAGGAAGGCUAAGGCCGAGUGAAAGUCCAUCCAGCGAAUGAGAAAGUAUGGAAGGAGGCUUGUUGAGUGUGUGUGACCUGAGCAAGAAAGAUACAUCUGCAUCAUGAGCAUCAGGAUUACAAGAAGGCCUCCUUUAAGAGGGUAUAUCAGGAACGCAAGGAGGAGUGAGACGGUACGAGAGGUAGACCUCAAUGUGCCACCUACUGAGAAUUGGGAUAAGUAUGGAACUUCAGCUCAUGCCUACUCUCAAGUUGUGGGACCACCUGUACCAAUUGACGUUGAUGCAGUUCAUGACGUUUUAACUCGCACCCCGGGGAUUUGCACGACAUUCUAGAAGAAAUCGCGGAAGAAGUGUUGUAGUUGAUGUAGAUUCAGGUAAUUAUGUUUCGUUUACCAUCUCUUUUCAUAGUAGUGUCUAUCUACGUAUGCAUGUUGCUCUUUCUCGUAGCAGCAUACAUAAAC